AUCAGAAUAUGAAGACAAGGUAAAUGAGUAAAACAAGGAAUGAGAAGGAGGGAGCACAUUUAAACAGAAUUUGGAAAAUUGUCUUCCACAAAACUGGCCCUGGUACCAAGAAGUUUGGGGACCGCUGCUGUAGACCACCAAUAUUUGAAUGACGCGUAGAAGAUGAGUCUGCAGAAGACAGAGAAAGAGCUGUCAUGGUGGAAGGUGAAAAGGCAGAACAGAUCCCAGUACUUUGGGAGGCCAAGGCGGGUGGAUCACUUGAGGUCUGGAGUUCAAGACCAGUCUGACCAAUGUGGAGAAACCCCGUCCCUACUAAAAAAAAAUACAAAAUUAGCCAGACGUGGUGGCGCAUGCCUGUAAUCCCAGCUACUCGGAAGGCUGAGGCAAGAGAAUUGCUUGAACCCGGGAGGCGGAGGUUGCGGUGCGCCGAGAUCGCGCCAUUGGACUCCAGCCUGGGCAACAACAGCGAAACUCCGUCAAAAAAAAAAAAAAAAAAAAAAAA
rnacentral:lncRNA from 10 species